rnacentral:tRNA from 1 species
AAUUUAUUAGUUUAAACCAAAACAUUACAUUUUCAUUGUAAAAAUAAAUAUUUAUUUAUAAAUUA